CACAGAUAUCUUCAGUAAGUAUCAAAUAUUCAAAAGAGACAAUGUGAAUAUUCUUAUUCUUUUCGACAUGCACAAUCAUAGCUAAAUAUGUUACUUACCAAUAUUGCAUGGAUUAUACAGCAGUCUUUAAUCGAGGUCUUUAAUAAUUGUAGACAGAUGCGAGAUAUUCUACUACUUGACUAGUAUUUCUCUCGAUAUUUCUUUUAUUGUAUAAUUCUUUACAUAUGCAAACAU